UCAAGAACAGCUCAGUUGGUCGAGCAUCGGACUCUUGAUCUAAGGGUCACGGGUUCGAGCCCCACAUAGGGUGAAAAA